CAGUCGCCACGGUAAUGCGUAGGGUGCAAGCAUUAAUCGGAAUUACUGGGCGUAAAGCGUGCGCAGGCGGUCCGCUAAGACAGAUGUGAAAUCCCCGGGCUUAACCUGGGAACUGCAUUUGUGACUGGGGGGCUAGAGUAUGGCAGAGGGGGGUAGAAUUCCACGUGUAGCAGUGAAAUGCGUAGAGAUGUGGAGGAAUACCGAUGGCGAAGGCAGCCCCCUGGGCCAAUACUGACGCUCAUGCACGAAAGCGUGGGGAGCAAACAGGAUUAGAUACCCGCGUAGUCCCUGUCUCUUAUAU
rnacentral:rRNA from 1 species